rnacentral:rRNA from 1 species
AACGAACGCUGGCGGCAUGCCUAACACAUGCAAGUCGAACGAGACCUUCGGGUCUAGUGGCGCACGGGUGCGUAACGCGUGGGAACCUGCCCUUAGGUUCGGAAUAACUCCCCGAAAGGGGUGCUAAUACCGGAUAAUGUCUUCGGACCAAAGAUUUAUCGCCUUUGGAUGGGCCCGCGUUGGAUUAGCUAGUUGGUAGGGUAAUAGCCUACCAAGGCGACGAUCCAUAGCUGGUCUGAGAGGAUGAUCAGCCACACUGGGACUGAGACACGGCCCAGACUCCUACGGGAGGCAGGAGUGGGGAAUAGUGGACAAUGGGCGAAAGGCUGAUCCAGCAAUGCCGCGUGAGUGAUGAAGGCCUUAGGGUUGUAAAGCUCUUUUACCCGGGAUGAUAAUGACAGUACCGGGAGAAUAAGCUCCGGCUAACUCCGUG